rnacentral:rRNA from 1 species
UGGCUAACUCCUACGGGAGGCAGCAGUGGGGAAUUUUGGACAAUGGGGGCAACCCUGAACCAGCAAUGCCGCGUGAGUGAAGAAGGCCUUCGGGUUGUAAAGCUCUUUUGUCAGGGAAGAAACGGUAGUAGCUGAUAUCUAUGACUAAUGACGGUACCUGAAGAAUAAGCACCUGCUAACUACGUGCCAGCAGCCGCGGUAAUACGUAGGGUGCAAGCGUUAAUCGGAAUUACUGGGCGUAAAGCGUGCGCAGGCGGUUGUGUAAGUCAGAUGUGAAAUCCCCGGGCUCAACCUGGGAAUUGCAUUGGAGACUGCACGCCUAGAGUGUGUCAGAGGGGGGUAGAAUUCCACGUGUAGCAUUGAAAUGCGUAGAUAUGUGGAGGAGUACCGAUGGCGAAGGCAGCCCCCUGGGAUAACACUGACGCUCAUGCACGAAAGCGUGGGGAGCAAACAGGAUUAGAAACCCCAGUAGUCCAGCUGG